CCCAUCAAAUAGUAUGAAGAAAUAUAUUAAUAGUCCAGACCAGAAGGAAAAUGAAAAGCACCUAGAAAUCAAUCCUGAAGGCACACAAAUUCACAAUGUAAACGACAGAGAAUUCAAAAUAGCUAACAUUAAAAAACUCAACGAGUUACAAGAAAAUUCAGAUAGUUCAAUUAAAUCAGGAAUAAAUUUAAUAAACAGAGGGAAUACUUCACAAAAGAGAUUGACCCUAUAAAGAGAAACCAAUCAGAAAUAUUGGAGAUGAAAAACACAAUGAGAUAAAGAAAAAUCUGGAUACCCUGAAUUACAGAGCUGACAUUAUGGAAGACGGAAUUAGCAAUCUGGAGGACCGAAAUAUAGAAAGGCUUCAGAUGGAGGAGGAGAGAGAAUUAAGACUAAAAAGAAACGAAGAAAUUCUCUGAGAAAUAUCUGAUUAAAUUAGGAAAUGCAACAUAAAAACUAUGGGUAUUAUAGAGGGAGAAGGGAGGGAGAAAGGAGCAGAAAGUCUGUUCAAACCUGGGAAAGGAGCUGGAAUUACAAGUAAAAGACGCUAACAGAACUUCUGAUUACAUCAAUGUAAAAAGACCUACUCCAAGGCAUAGAGUAGUAAAACUGGCAAAAGUCAGUGACAAAGAAGAAAUAUUUUUAAAGGCAGCAAGGCAGAAGAAAAUAACUUACAAAGACCAUAUCAAACUUUCAGGAGAUUUCUCAGCAGAAUCUUUACAGGAUAUGAGAAGGUAGAAUGAGAUAUUCAAAAUUCUGAAAGACAAAAACCUUCAGCCAAGAAUACUCUAUCCAGGGAAAAAUAUCCUACAGAUACGGUGGAGAAAUAAAAACUUUCCCACAUAAACAAAAGCUGAGGUAGUUCAUCGCCACAAGACACCCCAAACAGGAAAUGCUCAAGAAGACCUUCAUACCUGAAAAAGAACAAAAAGAGUUCACAAAGCCUUGAGCAAGGAGAUAAAUAGGCAGCCAAAGUCAGAAAAUUGCAGCUCUCUACCAGAACAGGUUAGCAAAAACUUAAUUAUGACAUUAAAGAUAAAGGGAAGGAAAACAUCAAAAAUAACUAUAAUCUUGUGAUUUUAACCACAAAAUCACAACACAAAACAGAAUAUGUUAUGACCAACAAAUCAGAGGAAGAGGAAAGGGAUGGAACUGGCUUAGACCAAGGAAAUAAGAGGCUAUCAGAAAAUGGUAUAUCUCAUCUACGAGAUUUUUUAUACAAACCUGAUGGUAACCACUAAACAAAUAAUCAGAACAGAGACACAAAUGAUACAAAAAAAAGAAAACUGAGGGGCUGUCCCAGUGCCAUAAUGGUUAAGUUCGCAUGCUCUGCUUCAGCCACCCAGGGUUUGCAGCUUCAGGUCCCAGGCACAGACCUAUGCAUCUCUCAUCAAGCCCUGCUGUGCUGGCAUCCCACAUACAAAAAACAGAGGAAGAUUGCCACAGAUGUUAGCUCAGCAACAAUCUUCCUCAAGCUAAAAGAGAGCAAGAUUGCUUACAGAUGUUAGCUCAGGGCCAGUCUUCCUCACACACAAAAAAGAGAAAACUGAGAAAACCAUCAUAGUGAACUACCAAACUGAACUGGCAGUCCAAAAUACACAAGAUGAGAAACAAGGAAAAUACAGAACUGGAAAACAAGUGAUAAAAUGGCAGCAUUAAGCCCUUAUAUAAAAAUAAUCACUCUAAAUGUAAAUGGAUUGAAUUCUCCAAUCAAAAGACAGAGUGGUGGGAUGGAUUGAAAAACAAGACUCAUCAAUAUGCUGCCUCCAGGAAACACUCUUAGCUCUAAAGACAAACACAGGCUCAGAGUGAAG
rnacentral:lncRNA from 1 species